rnacentral:rRNA from 1 species
GUGGGGAAUAUUGGACAAUGGGCGCAAGCCUGAUCCAGCCAUGCCGCGUGAGUGAUGAAGGCCUUAGGGUUGUAAAGCUCUUUCAGUGGGGACGAUAAUGACGGUACCCACAGAAGAAGCCCCGGCUAACUUCGUGCCAGCAGCCGCGGUAAUACGAAGGGGGCUAGCGUUGUUCGGAUUUACUGGGCGUAAAGCGCACGUAGGCGGAUCGUUAAGUCGGGGGUGAAAUCCUGGAGCUCAACUCCAGAACUGCCUUCGAUACUGGCGAUCUUGAGUACGGAAGAGGUGAGUGGAACUCCUAGUGUAGAGGUGGAAUUCGUAGAUAUUAGGAAGAACACCAGUGGCGAAGGCGGCUCACUGGUCCGGUACUGACGCUGAGGUGCGAAAGCGUGGGGAGCAAACAGGAUUAGAAACCCCAGUAGUCC